rnacentral:rRNA from 1 species
GACGAACCGUGCAAACGUUAUUCGGAAUCACUGGGCAUAAAGGGCUCGUAGGCGGCCAACUAAGUCGGACGUGAAAUCCCCAGGCUCAACCUGGGAACUGCGUCUGAUACUGGAUGGCUUGAAUCCGGGAGAGGGAUGCAGAAUUCCAGGUGUAGCGGUGAAAUGCGUAGAUAUCUGGAGGAAUACCGGUGGCGAAGGCGGCAUCCUGGACCGGCAUUGACGCUGAGGAGCGAAAGCCAGGGGAGCAAACGGG